rnacentral:rRNA from 1 species
CGCCCUUAGAGUUUGAUCAUGGCUCAGAUUGAACGCUGGCGGCAGGCUUAACACAUGCAAGUCGAACGGUAUAGGUGCUUGCACCUGACAAGUGGCGGACGGGUGAGUAAUGUAUGGGGAUCUGCCGAAUGGAUUGGGACAACCACUGGAAACGGUGGCUAAUACCGAAUAAUGUUGAGAGACCAAAGUGUUUCGACAUGCCAUUUGAUGAACCCAUAUGGGAUUAGCUAGUAGGCGGGGUAAUGGCCCACCUAGGCGACAAUCUCUAGCUGGUCUGAGAGGAUGACCAGCCACACUGGGACUGAGACACGGCCCAGACUCCUACGGGAGGCAGCAGUGGGGAAUAUUGCACAAUGGGGGAAACCCUGAUGCAGCCAUGCCGCGUGUAUGAAGAAAGCCUUCGGGUUGUAAAGUACUUUCGGUAGUGAGGAAAGGUACUAUUAACAUAGUAAAUUGACGUUAAUUACAGAAGAA